rnacentral:sRNA from 1 species
GAAUUUUUGGAUAAGUUAGCAGAAGCCUAACAGCGUAUGAGUCUAUGGUAGAUUAAUCUAGUAUCAUUAAAGCCUAAAAUUGGGAGGCAUGGGAAGCUUACCUUCUCUUUUAUUGUAUGAUGAAUACGAAGAUGUUGCAGAUGCUCCAGAUGCAUGAUAGAGACGUAAGAGUGGGAAAAAGACUUGUGUUAUUUAAAGUUUUUGUACUAUAAAUGUUAGAGACAAUGUAAGCG